rnacentral:rRNA from 1 species
AGUUUUAUGGAAUUCUAUAAAAUGAAACCUGCCCAAUGAAGAUUUAAUGGCCGCAGUACUUUAACUGUGCUAAGGUAGCAUAAUAAUUUGGCUUUUAAUUAAAGUCUGGUAUGAAAGGAUUAAUGGGUAUAAUCUGUCUUGUUUGACUUAAAAAAAAUUACUUAGAAGGUGAAAAUACCUUUAUAAAAUAAUUAGACGAGAAGACCCUAGGAGUUUUUGUUUUGUUGGGGCAACAUUUUAGUAAAGAAAUCUAUUUAUUACAUUUAACGAAUAUAUUAAUUAUAAUUAAACUACCCUAGGGAUAACAGCAUAAUUUUUUAAAAGAUUGUGACCUCGAUGUUGG